CUGAAUAACUCAGCUGAUCGCAUGGUCCUUGCACCGGCGACGUAUCUUUCAAGUGUCUGCCUUAUCAACUUUCGAUGGUAGUUUACACGCCUACCAUGGUUGUAACGGGUAACGGAGAAUAAGGGUUCGACUCCGGAGAGGGAGCCUGAGAAACGGCUACCACAUCCAAGGAAGGCAGCAGGCGGGCAAAUUACCCACUCUCGGUACGAGGAGGAGUGACGAAAAAUAACGAGACGGUUCUCUAUGAGGUCCGUCAUCGGAAUGGGACAAUUUAAACCCUUUAACGAGGUCUAUUGGAGGGCAAGUCUGGUGCCAGCACCCGCGUAAUUCCAGCUCCAAUAGCGAAUAUUAAAGUUGUUGCGGUUAAAAAG
rnacentral:rRNA from 1 species